UCUUUGCCCUGAGACGCACCAUGGAAGCGCCUGUCUGCUCCGACUUGGAUGGGACCUUUAGACGAUUAUUUAAACAUAUAUGAAGACAGAAAAAACACGAAACCCACAGGACAGCCAAUCUCCUAAAGCCGUAGACCAUGCCUUUGAGAAACAGUGAAACAUCAGUCAACGUGGUACAUUUGUACAUGGAUAGAGAAAGUCUGGAAUAAAUUAGUAGCAUCAAUAACUUCUGGCAAAGGGAUGAGAUAAGCACAUGAAGAGAUACUUCAAAUUUUUGUUCUACUUACUUCUGUGUAGUUUGGAUUUUU